UGAAGAGUGAAGGGAGCGGAGAGAAGCGGCAGCCGGAGCUGUGGAAGGAGCUUUAAAAAUAUAUAAAACAGAAGGAGAGCCCCCCAGAAUAUUGGAGCAGCACCCCAGGAGCGGAGGGCGGCAGCACCUGCACAGGGUUCUCAGUAACCAACGGAAUGACCCUUAUAAAUGCACAGUGUUCCCUGCGGAUGAAGGUUACAACCCGUAUUAGCUGUAGUACAUCUAUCCUCUAGAUCAUUGAUUCCUCCGAUCGAUACAUCCUCAUUAAUUGCAAUGAUUCUGAUGUAAGUUAUAAAGAUCCUACGAUCGCCGGCCUGGUUGUCGGAGAAUUUGUCUCAGCGGGUAGAAGUUGGACAUGGUUCUCUGCCUGUUGUUGAUGGAUACAUUGUGAUUGUGCGGAUGGAGAGGAUACUAUGGAGAGGAUACAAAGUGGCUUCUUUACAAUGAAGAGGUGGCGGACCCUUAACUCCUCGGGGGACGGCUAUUGCUGCAAAACCCAAACAAUUUAUUACUUGCAACAAAGGUGGAAAAAAAGAUGGAUAGGACCUAUAAAUUUCUCCAUGGGAACACAAAGCGUUUUAUUGGGGAGCUGCUGGAGAAUUACACCGAGCGGCAGCUGAUGGGAAGAUGAGAAUGGCCGCAUGGAAUGAGUGAGGACCAAGGGUGGCAGCGGCACAGACAGAAGAGAUUGAGAGCCUGCAUUAGCCCCGCGCUGCUAUAGAAGCAUAGAAAUGCCUUAUAUUUCAGGAAGAUUGUGGAGCCAGAAAUGGACAGAUUUACGGCCGGAAUAAAGAAAACACUCAUGUACGAUGCCAAAACUGUGCCACUGAUUGAUGCAAUACUGAAGACUUAUUGACCGGUUAUACGGGAGAAGAUUGGACUUGAUUUGGACGAGGCUAUAAGGAGCACUGGCAUUGACUUUUUUAUUUUCAGAUUGCAGGGAUGCGUGUCCUUGUUCAAUGUAUUGAUUCUGAGAUAUAUGUUAGAAGCUGUAUCUAUCUGUUUGUUUUAUUAUAUUUCAGGUCGACACUGAAAAUACAUAUAUGGUACAACAAUAUGAGAUGGAUUGGCUUUGCCAAAAAUAACACAGAACAUUGAUGCGUAACAGCGGCCCACACAGCAGUGUUGUAAUUGUUUUGUAAGUGGCAUCAUAUAUGAGUUGUGCGAGUCAAUACAAAUGUCACACAAAGAUGAAUAAUAUAACGGCUGUAAAGAUGUAAAAUUAAGAAGUGUGUGCAGAAAGAGCCAUCAGGAGGAUUCAGUGGAGAAAAAAGUGAGUUUUGGGGGGGCAUUUUUUUAGCUUAUUUUUGAUUAAAAGAGGCUAAACUCCAAAAAAUGAAUAUAUUUUCUAUCGGCCCAACCUGAACUAAUAAAAUAAUAAC